CAAAGUGUAGCACAUUCCGGUUAGCGCAUCUGUUUUGGGUACAGAGGGCCAUAGGUUCGAAUCCUGUCACCUUGA
rnacentral:tRNA from 1 species